rnacentral:rRNA from 1 species
CCUACGGGUGGCAGCAGUGAGGAAUAUUGGGCAAUGGAGGCAACGCUGACCCAGCCAUGCCGCGGGAGUGACGAAGGUUUUCGGAUUGUAAAGCUCUUUCGGAUGUGACGAUGAUGACGGUAGCAUCUAAAGAAGCCCCGGCUAACUUCGUGCCAGCAGCCGCGGUAAUACGAAGGGGGCAAGCGUUGUGCGGAAUUACUGGGCGUAAAGGGAGUGUAGGCGGUGUAGUAAGAUAAUGGUGAAAUCCCAGGGCUUAACUUUGGAAUUGCCAUUAUAACUGUUAGACUAGAAGUACCGAGAGGAUAGUGGAAUACCCAGGGGAGAGGUGAAAUUCGUAGAUAUUGGGUAGAACACCAGUGGCGAAGGCGACUAUCUGGCUGUACAUUGACGCUGAGGCUCGAAAGCAUGGGGAUCAAACAGGAUUAGAUACCCGGGUAGUC